CCGGUUCGGAGAAGGUGAGAAGGUGGGUGCCAUGCGUGCAGCGGGAUCAUGAAGAGCUCUGUGUCUACCCAGAAAGAAAUGUUAUAGAAGCAACGCCUUUAUUGUACUCAUCCUGGCCUUAAAAAUUACCCUGGUGGGACUGCAGGUUUCUGGAAAGCAAAUGCUUUGAGGAGAAAGGUGUUUCAAGGCUUUGAAUUUUUGUAACGGCCAUUGUGUCCAGCGCAUUGAAGAACAGUUCAACAACAGAAUCUAUAGAAGAGUUUGUUGCAACAAAGAAAAAAUGAAUCACUGGUCCAACAUAUAUUUGCGGCGAUUUGGAAGUUCUAGGAUAGCACUUCAGUUGUCAUUCGAUACAUCCAGUAUCUUUUAAAAUUAGCUGAUAAACAAGAUAUGGAGUAGCAUUAUAAAUGUUACUUAGUUGUAUCGAUGAGGCAAGACAAUUGUAACCCUAACCCUAAACCUAGCAUUUUCAUUUUUUCUCCUUUUGUAAGUUCUUCAAAAAACAACUGCAAACAAACUUUUGGUCAUCUCUGGUUUCUUCUUAUCAUCUGCUUACUUAGUUUUAGUUUGCUGAAUGAACUUUACAAGCUAUUUUUAUUCAAAUAUUCAAUAAAAAUUUGUUGCCUCAAAAUCAGGCUUCAUGUAAGGUCUAAUCAAUAUUACCCAGAAUUGAUAACUUGUGGAUUUUAUCUCUUGAUCUCAACCUGGGUGAUUACCUCACGGUUCAUUAAGGAAGACAACUGACUAAGAAACCUCUGGUUUGUGUGGUGUGAAUUUGAACCACUCCAGUGUCGGUCCACUAGAUCAAGUAAAUUCUGCAAGUGGGGGGAAAUGUUUGCAGAGCUGCCAGAUCUGAGCCCCAAUGGAAUUCGAGGAUGAUAAUCACCACAUUGAUCUACUUCAAGCAAUUUAUCCAAAGUUGCCUGCUGGUAAAAGGAGAAAUAUAGUUACAAUGUGUUUGUAUGUGCAAAAGAUUCAGAGUUCCUUUAAAAAUCACCAUUUUUAAUUUAUGUUAGAUCAUUUGGACACUUUUUUGCAAAAGUGAGGAAUAACCACAGCUGAUAAACCUGUCAACUGAUGGAAAUUACCCAUUCAAAUCAAAAUAAUAACACUGCGAGUGGUUUUCACAAAAUAGAUCAAGUAUACUUAGUUUGCCAGAUACUUCCAAAUAAUAUCAGUUUUGAAACAUGGCAAAUUUUAAUUUGUAUGACGACUGUGAAGUAACAAUAUCAAAUAUUCACUUUGUUCCCAUGAACUCAUGCACAGUAAGAUAUUUUAAAAGGGGGCAAAUCUAGCACAAUAUGGACUCUUGGGAUUUAUGUCAACAGGUCAAACAUUGUUUAACUCCUGAACCAAUCACUCUGAAGAAAUAGUUAAAUAAACAUCUCAGGAAGAGUAAGUCAGAAUAGUGAAGUCAUUGCAAAAUCAAGUACAGAAUGGAUUCAGAAAAGGAAAUGAAAUACAUUUUCAGUUGAUUUUUAAAAUUCUCCAAAAUGAUGAAGAAAAGAAUUUCUCCAUGAACUGUUAAAUUUUAAGCAAGAGGCAGUCUGUUUGACAAUAUACUGUCACACAGCCACACAGCAUGGAAAUAAGCCCCUUCACUCAUCAUGUCUAUGCCAGUCAUUACUUUCCCAUCUUUACUAAACCCAUUUCCUAGCAUCCAGCCGUACCAUUCAGUGCCCUUUGAUGGCUCAAGUGCCUAUCAAAAUACCUCUUAUACGCUGUGAUUGUACUUGCCUCUAUCAUCCUCUCAGGUGGUGUGUUCCAGAUUUCGGGUAAAAGUUCUUCCUCAAACCUGUUAUCCUUGUUCUUAAAUCAAUGCCCUCACACCUCUCCAAAGAUUAAAAGUUCUUCAUACGAGCUAUAGUCUUUUAAUUUUGCAUACGCUUACCAGCAACCUACUCCUUCAGCCCAGCCCUUGCCCUCUUAAGAAAGCAAACCUAGCCUAUUUUGUUUGACAAUAUCCCAAUGGAUUUCCUUUGCACCUUUUCCAGUACAAUCACAUCCUUCCUUAGUUGUGGGAAUCAGACCCAUGUACAGUAAUCCAGUAAAGCUUCACACAGAGGUUCCACAUGUUGCAAAUCAAUUUAACUGACUUCAGACACGAGCCUUCAGAUUUGAAUAUAAAUUAAGAAUUAAGUCUAAAAUGCAGCUCUGAACAAUGGGUUCCUAAGAAUUGUGAACCAAGUUAAUUGGAAGAACAGACAUGCUAAUUUAAAUUUGUGGCUGAUGUGCAUUUGGGUGUGUGUAAUACAGUUGUGAGCAGGGAGUAUGUUGGUGGGAAGAUCCAGGCAUUUGAAACUCUUAAAUGUAGUUCAAAGGAAGCAUUGUAAAUAUCGAUUUGUUAGAAUUGUCCUGAAAUUUCUUUGAUGUUUAGCACAUAAAAUGUUGUGUAUUACUGGGUCAAGCAUAUCUCUUGCUCCGAAAGGGUCUCUCUCCUUCUCUCUUGUGACUCCAAAGGCUGUUAGCUUAUUUGUGAUAUUUUGUCAAAUAAAGCGACUGCUUCAUACCGACCAGUACUUCCCUCUGGUGACUUAAUUCACGCAAAAACAUUUGGUGUCAGGAGAGGGAUUCCUUCUUGCGACUCAUCGUGUGGACCAGCAAUC